rnacentral:rRNA from 2 species
UACGUAGGGAGCGAGCGUUGUCCGGAUUUAUUGGGCGUAAAGAGCGCGUAGGCGGCUCAGUAAGCCGGGUGUGAAACCUCCAAGCUCAACUUGGAGCGGCCAUUCGGAACUGCUGUGGCUAGAGUCUGGUAGGGGAACACGGAAUACCUGGUGUAGCGGUGAAAUGCUUAGAUAUCAGGUGGAACACCAGUGGCGAAGGCGGUGUUCUGGGCCAGUACUGACGCUGAGGCGCGAAAGCGUGGGGAGCGAACAGG